rnacentral:sRNA from 1 species
GAGGGCGCGGCGGUCGCUG